CCAGUAGUGGGGGACAACAUUCNGANACGGAUGCUAAUACCGCAUACGCACUACGGUGGAAAGUGGGGGACCUUCGGGCCUCACGCUAUUGGAUGAGCCUAAGUCGGAUUAGCUUGUUGGUAGGGUAAUGGCCUACCAAGGCGACGAUCCGUAGCUGGUCUGAGAGGACGAUCAGCCACACUGGGACUGAGACACGGCCCAGACUCCUACGGGAGGCAGCAGUGGGGAAUAUUGGACAAUGGGCGNAAGCCUGAUCCAGCAAUGCCGCGUGUGUGAANAAGGCCUGCGGGUUGUAAAGCACUUUCAGUAGAGAAGAAAAGCUUAGGGUUAAUAACCCUGAGUCUUGACGUAACCUACAGAAGAAGCACCGGCUAACUCCGUGCCAGCAGCCGCGGUAAUACGGAGGGUGCGAGCGUUAAUCGGAAUUACUGGGCGUAAAGCGCGCGUAGGCGGCUUUGUAAGUCAAAUGUGAAAGCCCCGGGCUUAACCUGGGAAUUGCAUUCGAUACUGCUGAGCUAGAGUAUGGUAGAGGGAAGUG
rnacentral:rRNA from 1 species